UAUUAUUUAUUAAGUUACUAUUAUAUAUUAGCCGCGAUAGGAUAUUCCGUUGCAGAUGCUUAAGAUUAUUAGAUGUAGAUUUAUUUCUUCUUCUAAAAUCGACAACGGAUGCUCAAGGAUUCUUCCUUUUAUCUGACUUACUAUUUACUUAAUGUAAGUAUUAAUCUAGUUUCUACAUUGUUCAUUUCGACCUAGCGGCAAGCUAGACAUAGAGAUUGCAAUUGCAUUCUGUUAUUCACUACAAGAAAAUAAAAAAUUUACGUUAUAAAUAUUUUACAAAACCUUAAAAAUUUUAAUUAUAGGAAAAAGUUUGGUUGGUGAUUGAAAACAGAAUCUCCUACAUUAACUUAACCUCGAUGAAUAUAUCUCUCUAGUUAAACGCUACGCUAGGAUCGUUUAUGAAGCUUGCUAACGCUAUCGCGCUACUGGCUCCAAGAACAGCAUUGGUAGCGUUUGCGUCCAUAGCACGAAUAGUGUUUCUCCGAACGCACUCACAGAGCACGUGAAAAUGUACCUUCAAGCAUCGUCAGAUUCAGGGCUACCCCUCUUGUUCCGAGCAUAACCAGCAUUUGUGACGACCUCAUAGCUAUAACACAGGAAAUGAAGAACUAAUAUUUAAUAUGGUUGUUUAAUAUGGAAAUCAUCGGCCGACGUCUUUAACACAAUAUAAACAUAAAUUAAUAUAGCUGUGUUCAUUAUGGAUGAUCACGCGCUCUUUAAGCGCUUGUAAUCAUUCUAUCUUUAUCUUCAAGCGCUUUCAAUUUGAAAAAGAACCUGUAUAAAAACAUACUAGUAUUACUAUUAUAUAUAUACUACUGUUAUAUAUAUACUACUGUUACUACUAGCAGGAAUAAAUUCGCGUCACUA
rnacentral:sRNA from 1 species